rnacentral:tRNA from 1 species
GCAGGGGUCUCAUAGUCCGGUCAAUUGAGCCAGCUUGAGGGGCUGGUGGCUUAGUGCCUUCGAGGGUUCAAAUCCCUUCCCCUGCA